rnacentral:rRNA from 1 species
GAGAAUGAUUCUUCGGAUGAAGUCUCUUGUGACUGAGUGGCGGACGGGUGAGUAACGCGUGGGUAACCUGCCUCACACAGGGGGAUAACAGUUGGAAACGACCGCUAAUACCGCAUAACCCGCUGGUGCCGCAUGGCACUGACGGAAAAGAUUUAUCGGUGUGAGAUGGACCCGCGUCUGAUUAGCCAGUUGGCAGGGUAACGGCCUACCAAAGCGACGAUCAGUAGCCGGCCUGAGAGGGUGAACGGCCACAUUGGGACUGAGACACGGCCCAGACUCCUGCGGGAGGCAGCAGUGGGGAAUAUUGCACAAUGGGGGAAACCCUGGUGCAGCGACGCCGCGUGAGUGAAGAAGUAUUUCGGUAUGUAAAGCUCUAUCAGCAGGGAAGAAAAUGACGGUACCUGAUUAAGAAGCCCCGGCUAACUACGCGCCAGCAGCCGCGGUAAUACGUAGGGGGCAAGCGUUAUCCGGAUUUACUGGGUGUAAAGGGAGCGUAGACGGUGAUGCAAGUCAGAAGUGAAAGCCCGGGGCUCAACUCCGGGACUGCUUUUGAAACUGUGUGACUGGAGUGCAGGAGAGGUAAGCGGAAUUCCUGGUGUAGCGGUGAAAUGCGUAGAUAUCAGGAGGAACACCAGUGGCGAAGGCGGCUUACUGGACUGUAACUGACGUUGAGGCUCGAAAGCGUGGGGAGCAAACAGGAUUAGAUACCCUGGUAGCC